GACCCGAUAGUGGAGUGUUUACCACACCUGAUUUAAAUACACUGUGUAGCUGGAAGCGUAGUUCAGCAGGAGACCCCUGUCCGAUUCGGGGUCGGGUCA